GGCAGCUGAGCGCUCAGUCCUCCCGGGGCCUAGAGCGUCACCAGAGGUGCCCCCGCCGCGGCGAGGGGACGCGGCGCUUCCGGCGAACGGCGGGGCUGCAGUUUUAAUUACGUUAUUUGCGAGGUUUCUUCCCGAACAAGUUGGAGAGGAAGCGUCCACACGGGCAGCUCUCCGCCGGCACCCGGUAUCUCACUGUCGGGGUGACUCCCCAGAAGCGAAGUCACGGUGGACUGUAGACCUGUGUAAGCUGGCCAGCCCAGCUGUGGCACUUACUGUCCCCUCGCCGCGCAGCACGUGCCUGUCUCCCCCAGCCUUCUCCUCGCUGCCAAGGUGUACCCACUGCUGGCGUUCCGACGAGGCACAGCGAGGCGCGCCCCCAGGCCUGGUCUCCAGCGGGCCACUGAGACGGCCACCCUGAUGGACACACACAGGCUCCGGGCUCCCUUUUCUGAAGAUCUAAGGCCACGCUGGCGGGCUGUCGAAGCUGAGGACUCCUAUCCGGGUCAGUGCUGUUGCAGGACCACGCCGUCUCCCCUCCGCCCGCAACACACCACUGCCGAGGGCGCUGCCCCACAUCCGCGUCUGCUGCAUGGGCAGCGGGAGCCUGGGUGGGGUACGGCCCCGGCACCUGCACCUCUUCUCCUGUGAAGUCAGAGAACCCCCGUGUCCACGAACAAACACUCACCCCUUCCUCAGGCCCUGCCUUGAAGCUGCCUGCAAGUCCCGGACGUCUAGGCUGGGUCUCUCCCUCCCCUGCCCCGACCCUAACCCCGGUGGAUCCCGCCUGCACGGGGCUCUGCGCAGUCCCGCACUCUGGGACAAAAUAAGAAUUUUAGCAAAUGCCAGCACACACAGAGCGGUGGGGGAGAAACGGGGUACACCAGGGCACG